rnacentral:rRNA from 1 species
UGGGGAAUAUUGCACAAUGGGCGCAAGCCUGAUGCAGCCAUGCCGCGUGUGUGAAGAAGGCCUUCGGGUUGUAAGCACUUUCAGCGAGGAGGAAGGGUAGUGUGUUAAUAGCACAUUGCAUUGACGUUACUCGCAGAAGAAGCACCGGCUAACUCCGUGCCAGCAGCCGCGGUAAUACGGAGGGUGCAAGCGUUAAUCGGAAUUACUGGGCGUAAAGCGCACGCAGGCGGUUUGUUAAGUCAGAUGUGAAAUCCCCGCGCUUAACGUGGAACUGCAUU